AUGGGACGACCUGGGAAUGCCACCCACACUGGGGAGGCAGCCCCUGACAGAGACAGACGAGGGGCUCCCGCAGGCCUGAGACCUGCCCCCAGAGCCUCAGUGCUGCUCCUUUGUUUUAGAUUCAGUCGCUCAAAGGAGCGGAGGCGGCAGGUACCGGGCCCAGAGCGGGCCCGGAAAGAGACGAGACCAGGGAGGAAAGCAGGUGGUGCCAGCGAAACCUCGGCCCAGGGCAGCAGGGCCUUCUCUGGGGCAGGCCUGGGAGGCUGGGGCCUUGGAAGUGCUUGUGUCUGUGUGUGUACUGCGCAGAGCAGAGAGGGGCGUGUAUCACAGCUAUUGUUGGUUAUGUUUUCACUGCUCUCUCCCCUCCUCAGCUCUCCCGCUAACUCCAAGACAAGAUGCUGUUACCUGGCACAACUAAGCUCCCAGUUCACCAGCAGGAGCCAGUCGUUCCUCUUAGUUUCCUUAUGGUUCCAAGGACAGACCUGGUGCCAAUCAGACCCCAGAGGGCCCCCUAAAGAGUGGUCCUGGAGAAGACUUCAUUUAUUGCUCAUUUUGUGA
rnacentral:lncRNA from 1 species